UCCGGCUUGUCACCGGCGGUUUCUUCAGAGUGCCCGGCCUUACCCGGGGGCAACUGAAGAUGAGGGUUGCGCUCGUUGCGGGACUUAACCCAACAUCUCACGACACGAGCUGACGACAGCCAUGCAGCACCUGUGUUCUCGCCGGCCGAACCGAAGGAUCUAGUCUCCUAGACCCAUACGAGACAUGUCAAAAGCUGGUAAGGUUCUUCGCGUUGCGUCGAAUUAAACCACAUACUCCACCGCUUGUGCGGGCCCCCGUCAAUUCAUUUGAGUUUCAACCUUGCGGCCGUACUCCCCAGGCGGCAUGCUUAAUGCGUUAGCUGCGACACAAGAGGGCGUGAGCCCUCCAACGUCUAGCAUGCAUCGUUUACGGCGUGGACUAC
rnacentral:misc_RNA from 1 species